rnacentral:rRNA from 1 species
GACGUAGGGCGCGAGCGUUUGUCCGGAUUUAUUGGGCGUAAAGAGCGUGUAGGCGGCCAGGUAGGUCUGCUGUGAAAACUCGAGGCUCAACCUCGAGAUGUCGGCGGAAACCAUCUGGCUAGAGUCCGGAAGAGGAAAGUGGAAUUCCUGGUGUAGCGGUGAAAUGCGCAGAUAUCAGGAAGAACACCCGUGGCGAAGGCGGCUUUCUGGGGACGGUA